UCUGAAUCUGCGUACGGCUCCGCAAACCAGUUGUAAACUAUAGCAAGCAAUCCUGCGGGCGGCUUCGGCUGCUCGUGGGUAACAUGGAUAACCCUGGUAAUUCUGAGGCUAAUACAAGAACGUACUCCCUGGCUGACCGGCAACGGAAGGCUGGGGAGCGUGCAACGUAUCGUAGGGAUAAACCGGGAAUGGGUGCACGCUUGGACCGCGCUAAAGACAGAUCUCGGCGAGCCUUCGGGUGAGCCUUGGCCUGAGCGGCUCUUGCUGUGUGCUUCUGACCUAUCAACUAGACGGCAGCGUAAGGGACAUGCUAUGGU
rnacentral:rRNA from 1 species